CCUACGGGAGGCAGCAGUGAGGAAUAUUGCGCAAUGGAGGCAACUCUGACGCAGCCAUGCCGCGUGCAGGAAGAAGGCGCUACGCGUUGUAAACUGCUUUUAUCCGGGAAGAAACCCCUCUACGUGUGGAGGGUUGACGGUACCGGAGGAAUAAGCACCGGCUAACUUCGUGCCAGCAGCCGCGGUAAUACGAAGGGUGCAAGCGUUAUCCGGAUUCAUUGGGUUUAAAGGGUGCGUAGGUGGGGCGUUAAGUCAGUGGUGAAAUCCUGCAGCUCAACUGUAGACUUGCCAUUGAUACUGGCGCUCUUGAGUGCGCUUGAAGUAGGCGGAAUGUGCCGUGUAGCGGUGAAAUGCUUAGAUAUGGCACAGAACACCAAUUGCGAAGGCAGCUUACUAAGGCGAUACUGACACUGAGGCACGAAAGCGUGGGGAUCGAACAGGAUUAGAUACCCUGGUAGUCCACGCCGUAAACGAUGAUCACUCGAGAUUGGCGAUAUACGGUCAGUCUCCUAGCGAAAGCGUUAAGUGAUCCNCGNGGAGAGAGNGCGAGAGUAGAAGUAAGAAGUAGAGACGNGAGAGNGCGAGGACGACACGAGGGAGGAG
rnacentral:rRNA from 1 species